AACGAACGCUGGCGGCAUGCCUAACACAUGCAAGUCGAACGAGACCUUCGGGUCUAGUGGCGCACGGGUGCGUAACGCGUGGGAACCUGCCCUUAGGUUCGGAAUAACUCCCCGAAAGGGGUGCUAAUACCGGAUAAUGUCUUCGGACCAAAGAUUUAUCGCCUUUGGAUGGGCCCGCGUUGGAUUAGCUAGUUGGUAGGGUAAAAGCCUACCAAGGAGACGAUCCAUAGCUGGUCUGAGAGGAUGAUCAGCCACACUGGGACUGGGACACGGCCCAGACUCCUACGGGAGGCAGGAGAGGGGAAUAUUGGAGAAGGGGCGAAAGCGUGAUCCAGCAAUGCCGCGUGAGUGAUGAAGGCCUUAGGGUUGUAAAGCUCUUUUACCCGGGAUGAUAAUGACAGUACCGGGAGAAUAAGCUCCGGCUAACUACGUG
rnacentral:rRNA from 1 species